CUUGCAGUUCUGAAUGCAUGUUGUAACGUUACUAAUUGGUGUAGUAAUGUCCCUAGUUCGUAUAAUACUGAAAGGGCAUUAUGCAAAUGUUGUGUAUAUCGUGAUUUUAUCCUGAAGUGCUUGACUGGAAUGGAGGAGAGAUGAAAAGAAGAAAGACAACAUGUGGUUAUUCCCAUUUAACAAGCUUAGUCUAAGAACAUGCGGAGUGGGAAUUGUUGUACAUGUGUUUCUUGUGCCAGUAUGCCUCAGAAAUCCACUUAAUUGCUAAAGUAAGCAUAACUAAGAUGGCAUUUCUUGCUUCUAGAAAUGAAUGCUAGUGUACUAUUUGCUCAGUUUGCUUUUGUAGUGCCUUAGUGGUUUCUGAUUAGUUACAGCAGCACGUGAAACUGUUUCUGUCCUAAAUGCUCAGUUAUUGGAAGUCAAGUAAGAUAGGAGGCAGCCUUUUACCAGAGCUUCUGUUAAUGAAUGCUUAAUACCUCCUUUGGUAGGUAAACAGAGCGCAGAUCUUCUAUCAAAAUCAAAACUGCAUUAAUGCAGUCCUGCCGAACUGCGUGGCAAAGCAAGAGAUGAUGUGUUACAAGGCAGUAACCUGUCUGCACUGGUUUUGUGUGAUGUUACUUGCAAAUUGGAGCUGCCAAAUUCUACUUCAUGUAUAUCUGUAUCUGCUGAAAGGUAGGCCUGUGUAAGAUACCAUGCUGAGCGCUUCAUUUGAAGCCCACUGCUUGGAAAGAUCUGGGAACAGUAUGCUGCUUACCCAGAUGAUGUCACUGGUGAAGUCUUGUUCAAACAUCAAAUUGUGCCUGCCAAGGGUAAGGACUUUCUAAAUGCUGAGGCAGGCUUUAUUUGUAACAUGACAUGCAUAGAAACGGUAAAAAGGUCAAGGAAAUUCUGUCAUUAGUGAAGUCCUUAACUAACAACAGAGAGUUGAUUUUAGGUAUGCUCAUUAACAUCUAAGGCUUAGCACUGCCUUUGAUCACUGGCUUUCAAUACAGGUUGCUUGUUCUAUGGUUGCCUUUACGCACAGUGGGGAGUGCUCUACCACAUAGCAGAGGCGGGUGCUCACUGGGGAGGGUUUUGAGAACAAAGAUCAGGCUUUCUGCUGGAACAGCCCGUGAAAAAUGUAGAAGUAAUCAAAAAAGUAUUGAGUUUCCUACUGUACAAUUCUAAGUCAAACAUGAGGUAUACGUGAGGGCUGUGGCAGUGGGAGAGCUUGCUCAGUGUUCACCCUCUGUGGGGGAGCAGGGUUCUUUAGAGCCUGGCUCCUUUGAGGCUGGUAUACGUAUUUUUUGUCAAUAGAAAGGGUAGUGAUUAACAAGUAUGUUCCUCUCCCUUGAAAGUUUCAUCUGUCUUUCCAGCAGGAGGAGUCCUGUGAUUACAGUGCAGCAAGGCCCAUGCAAGACCAUAGGAGAACUGGCUGGAGAGGAAAUAAGGGAGCAGUAAUGCAAAUGGUACUUCAGUUUCUUUUAAUAUGCUUCCUUGUAGGAGGCCAGUAAAAUGUUGUUUUCCAACAUUAGUAAAGUCUGGUUAUGAGAAGAACCAAACUGAAAGUGACCUGCAGAUAGCCUUCACAAAAGAUGGCAUGCUAACAGGGUGGGUGGUGACUUUACACCAGAGGUGCCCUGUGAAAAACCUUAUUUCAGGUGCUCUGAACCAUUGCAAAUGCAUUUUCUUUCAGAAGGAUUUCCCAGACGUACUUACUCUUCUCUUUCAGGGUUUACUGGGGAAGAGGAGUGGAUUCUGGGGACUGCAACAGAAACAAUUGUACGUACUUUAUGCCAGCUACAUGUUCUGUGUGGCAGAAAGACGCUUACUUCUGAGGUUUCUGGAAAGUGCCUGCUAGAAUGAUUUCCACUGUAUUCUCUGAUGGCCUCUGUGCUUUGCUACCCAGGUGCUGCUGGACUGACUACAGUUGUGCUGGAGAGCUGUUCUGAAUGAGCGUAGACAAUCAAAUGCUUCAUCAAAGCUGAAGUCCAGCUCCUAGGUGGAGGUCACAGUCAUCUUUGGAAGGUGUAACUCUCAGAUUUCCAAGUUUGGACCAUGUGGGCUAAACUCGAAGAAAUUCAGAAAGUCUGAGAAGAGUCUUCAGCCUCUGAAGCUGUUCUAUGUGUAUGUGCCACCACGUGCUCAGUUUUCAAUGGAUGCAAUGGAUGUAAGUCAUGACUCAUUGACACAAACCAGUAAUUUGCAUGCCAAAUUGAAAAACAGUGCCUGAAGACAAAUGCAUAGAGAACUGACCUCAGCCUAGAGAUCUGAUAAAGUAUGCUUAAAAAAACCCACACGUAUUCUUAGAAUCUCCCUGGAUUUUUGUGCUGCUGUUUCUGAGAUAGGUGGCUCCAGAUGACAGUUGGGUUACUGCUUUGCAAGACGUGUACUUCCAGUCUUACUGAAAUCCCAUUUCCCUAGAUAGUCUGUUUGUUCUGUUAUUUACAUUGCUGAUAACUGGUGAAUAGGCUUAAAACAGAAAAGCUGGUUUUGUAUCGAAUUAGGGCUUAAAAAAAUGCAGAUGUGAAGGAGGAGAUGAUACAAACCAUACAAUUUCUGAGGCCUUGGUGCAAAACUUGGAAUGUUUUCUUUUAAAUAUCUUUCAUUUUCCAGGAUCCGAAUGAGGAGCAGUCUCCUCUAGAAUGACUACAUAUCUGGAAUUGUUUUGAAUUCUUUGACUGACUUUAACAGCUUCUUUGGAAUAAUGUUAAUGUAAGCUACUUUUAUGGUAAUCUUGGGUGAGUUAAAACCUGUAAUGCCAUCUGCCUUGAUGGUUGAAUGGUGAAAUACAUACUCUCUUAAUGUUAUUAAAAGUCCACAGACUCAAGUCUGGUGAGACCAGAAUGGUAUGGAUUCCAACAACAACAACAACAAAGUGCUUUUCUUCAUUCUGUGUAUACCUUGGUGAGAUGGAAAGAAACUGACAUCUUUGCUCUUCCUCUGUGUUGUGUGGGGAUGUGGAGUAGAUUUGUGUAGGAAUUGACUCCUCCAAGGACUACAUGUUUUCUUUUUCUUUUGCUCAGCUUGGAUCUUCAGCUGCUUUUGCCUGUGGACUGGUCACACAUACCUUAAGGAGCUGCCUUUGUUGGCCUUGAAUUUUUAAACCCCCUGGUUUUCCUUAAAAUGUUAAGGGUUAUAGCGUAGCAGUAGGGCCCAGGGUGUAGAAGGGAGCAAAACGUUUCAGAGCAGGAGAGCUGGAGACUGUAGGCAUAGGAAAGAGCUGGAGUAUAGAGUAUUAGAGAAGGGGUGGCACUGAUAGCAGAGAGACCCUACUGUAAAGGUAGAUAUGGCUAAUAACACGUAGAGUACAAGGAAGGAUAAUAAAUCUGACAUCCUCAGCUUGUCUUUUUUUAAUGACAGUUUAAGCAUGGAAAACAGUAUAUUUUUUUAUGCCAAAGGAGCAAAAAACUGGUCACUUCACAGGUGAGGCAGUAACUGUGAGCUGCCCUGUAGGAUCUGUUGGAAGAAAGCCGGAGAAAUGACAAAAGCAAGGAAGCGGCAUGGGAAUGAUGAGCAGGUCAGCACACUGGAGAAGCAAAAUGAGGACAGUAGACGGGAAGGUAGAAGAAACAGUGAAAGAGGAGGCUGCAGCUGAAAAGGGGGGAAUUGUAAAAGGACACAGAAUUGUGGAGGAAAGAUAGACAGAAACAUGAAAUAAUGAAAGACUGCAGGUAAGCAACUUGUUCUCUGUGCCAAUCCUUCCUCUCUUCCUCCUGGACACGGCAGAACAAAACAUACUAGCAUGCAGUGGAGCACAGCAAUGAAAAAAUACACGCAAAAGAUGAACAGAUUGACUUCCCAAGUACUGUUGGCGUUCUUUAGUAAUGAUUUUUUUUUUCCGGAUCAUUUCUUUCUAUAUCAUGUACAAAGAAAAGACUCACUUUGCUUACCUUAAUGCAUUGAUUCGAAUCAAAUUCUCACCAAGAGCAUGAGCAGGUGAUAAAUUCUCUUGCUUUCAACUGUUUUUUGGAGUGAAGUUUGUAAAAAAUACCUUAUGUUGCUGGACUGUUGUCUGGGAGCUUUUCUCCUGCACUGCCUGAAAUACUGAAGUAUGUCAGAGGCUGUGUUUCUGCACAGCUUUGUAUGAUUCAAAGCUAACAGGCAGACUGCUCUGCAGCAGUAAUAUGAAAGGGAAGGUGGUUAUGUGACAAGAAAAUAUUGACAGUGUUUGGUUGCCUUGUUUAUACCACUGGUUAACAGAAAAUAAGCACAGCAAGCAGCCAGAAAUGUUCCAUUUGGAUGUUAAAUGUGCACCUGGUGCAGAAGUGCCUCUACACGGCAGGAACCUGCAGGGCUUUGCACAGCUGUAAAGUUAAUGGACACUGAAUGCCUGGCUCUCCUUAACUAUUUCCACCUGCUUUGCCUGGCUCAUGCUCCUUUGAGUUCAGCUAAGCCAUCCUGAUUUGUAUUUGAUUAACUAAGAGGGAAUUAAGGCCCAUGUGUUCGCUCCCUUAAUCGUUUCUACAGUAUUCUGAGUUAACAUGAGAUAUUUGUUUGGGCAGUGUUUAUAUGUGAGGUUGGGAUGUCUCUCUGCUCCUCCUUCUUGUGUAUGUAGCCCCUGCUCGAAGCUAAUGAGUAACACUGGUAUAGCAGCCACAAACUCAUCAUGCAGAUUACUGUUUGAACCUGAGAUCAGUGCCAUGCUCUACAUCUUACUUCUCAUAUUCGCUGCUGGCGUUGUUACAGUAAUUAAUGGCACCCAGUCCUGAAAAAAAAAUGACCUCUCCUGUUCAUUAGGAAGUGAUUACCGUGAGGGGCUGCUAUUAAAUGAGCCGGCAUAGCUGCACUUAAUCAGACCAGCUGGACUGAAAGCAAGCAGGAGGGUUAAGCAAACAAACCGAAACGCAAGUGGGGC
ensembl:lncRNA